GGAGACGUCGCUGCCGUGAU
rnacentral:snRNA from 1 species